AUGUUCUUCAUUUUCGUCAGCCAAAAUGCAGAAGAUCGAAUUGCCCUUCUCGGCAUCCUGCCCUGCCGCCUCUUCCACUUGAAACUCCUCUGCAGCCAUGGUGAUGGUUGUGCGCCUCUGUUACUGCAAAACCGCCUACCUCGAGGUAUAGAACAGCAGCCACUGUUUUUUGCAAAUGAAGCCACCGGGGCUUGGCAGGUCAUGUCCAUCGCGCCGUGUUGUCAAAGUUGCUGCUACUACCUCUGUUUACUUGGCCAAGAUCGAACUACAGCCACGGCAUCAGAUGGUUCCACGUGUGCUUUUGUUUGCCCUAUAGUUAAAUCAAGUGUUCUCUCUUUUGCCGGCCACUAA
rnacentral:rRNA from 1 species